CGCGUAGGCGGUUUUGCAAGCCAGAGGUGAAAUGCCUGAGCUCAACUUAGGAAUUGCCUUUGGGACUGCGAGGCUUUGAGGACUGGAGAGGUGAGUGGAAUUCCCAGUGUAGAGGUGAAAUUCGUAGAUAUUGGGAAGAACACCGGUGGCGAAGGCGGCUCACUGGCCAGUUUCUGACGCUGCAGCGCGAAAGCGUGGGGAUCAAACAGGAUUAGAUACCCUGGUAGUCCACGCUGUAAACGAUGAGUGCUAGGCGUCGGCAUGCUUGCAUGUCGGUGCCGCAGCUAACGCGUGAAGCACUCCGCCUGGGGAGUACGGUCGCAAGAUUAAA
rnacentral:rRNA from 1 species